CGUGUCAAAACAUUAUUGGGUAGAAGAUAGAUCUGAGUUUCAUCUGUUCUUUCUCUUCCUUCUCUUCCGUCGCUCGUGCGAUGUAGAUUCUCUUCGAAGAAGAAGCUUUGAUCGAUCGGUUUCGAUCAAAGUCAUAUUAAAACAAUGCUUCACGUCUUGAAAGACUACACAGGCGUCUCAUGUUUCCUCGUCCUGUUCGCGGGAAUCAUGUCUGGUCUGACUUUGGGGCUCAUGUCUCUCGGUCUCGUGGUGCUCGAGAUUCUCCAACUCAGGGGCACUCCCAACAAGAAGAAACAAGCCAGUAAUCAUCUCUCCUUCAUUGUUCCUAUUUUUGUUUUUUUAUUUGAUCUCAUGAUGGUGAUUUUUCUUUAGCUGUGAUAUUCCGGGUUGUUCAGAAACAGCAUCAGCUUUUAGUGACACUGCUUCUGUGCAAUGCUGUUGCAAUAGAGAUGAGAGGAUCAUUUGGUUCUUGAUCAAUUUUAUUGUUUCUUUGGAGUUUUCUCUUGAUCAAGAAAAUGUCAAGUAUCUUCCCGGGAUUAAGCUAGGAAGAAACAGUCUGUUACUACUCUACAGGCCAUGGCUAAGAGAGCAAAAGCAGAGUUGAAAGGAGGGACUUUGAAGACAGUGAGUGAUAAAGGCAAUGGAAGCAACUCUGCGAAGAGUCUCACAGGUUCAGAGAAAGCGAAGCCCUUAAAGAAGACUGAAUUGGUCAAGAAACCAUUGCCUAAGAUGACAAAGACUCCAGGAAAAUCAGUGGUUGAAGUAAAAGAACGUAAAGGACCAGGUUCAAGGGGCUCGCAGGAGAUAAAGGAUCAUGGCCAUGUAAAGUUUCUACUCCCCGGUUUUCCUAGAAGCUCACCUAAGACAAAGUAGUCAUUCCCUCAAAAGCAAAAUUCUAAAAGUAAUCAGUUCGCAGGUUAUCCGUUGUAUUCCUUGCUUGCGGGAGGAGAGACUCAGACUAAAACUCGUGGUAUGCAGUCUAAACAUCACUUUGGUGUUUUUGUCUCAUUCAGUCACAUGUAAUCUUGUGAGUUUGAGUUUGUUGAUUCAUUCAGUGGUUACAUACAACAAUGAGAAAAGGAACAUUAACAUACACACACA